rnacentral:rRNA from 1 species
AAUAAUGCAGGCAGUGGAUGCCUUGGCAUAGUGUGCCGAAGAAGGACGUACAUAGCCGCGAUAGUCGUCGGGGAGCUGCUAAGAAGCAAUGAGCCGGCGGUGUCCGAAUGGAGGAAUCCCUGCUGGAGUAAUCCAGCGGACCCCGGUGUUACACCGGGGGGGUAAGCCACCGAACUGAAAUAUCUCAGUAAGUGGAGGAAAAGAAAUCGAAUGAGAUUCCCUGAGUAAGCGACGAGCGAAAAGGGAACAGCCUAAACUUGAGGCGCAAGCCUUGAGGGUUGCAGGACUUUCAAUGUAGGAUUGGCAAGGAUAGUCAAAUAGUCUGGAACGUCUGACCAAAGAGGGUGAUAGUCCCGUAGACGAAAUUCAAACCAACCUUAGAAAGACUCCUAAGUACUUUCGGAGACGGCAAACUCCGGGAGGAAGCUGGGCCGACCAUGGUCCAAGGCUAAAUACACACUAUGACCGAUAGUGAACGAGUACCGUGAGGGAAAGGUGAAAAGAAGGGUGAGAGACCCAGUGAAAUAGUACCUGAAACUGCUUGCUAACAAACAGACAGAGUCCGGCCGCAAGGUCAGGAUGAUGUCGUGCCUAUUGAAGAAUGAUCCACCGAGUUAAUACCGACUGCAAGCUUAAGUGAUUGUCAUCACGGAGGCGGAGUGAAAGCGAGCCUGAAUAGGGCGACCAUAGUAGUCAGUAUUAGACCCGAAACCAGACGAUCUAUCCAUGGCCAGGGUGAAGCCCGCCGAAAGGCGGGUGGAAGCCCGCACCAGUGUAUGUUGCAAGAUGCUUGGAUGAGCUGUGGAUAGCGGCAAUAUACCAAUCGAGUCUGGAGCUAGCUGGUUCUCCCCGAAACAUAUCUAGGUAUGGGCUCACGUGAUUGCCUACGGGGGUAGAGCACUGGAUGGGUAUUUUGUGGGUAACCGCAGAUAUCUAAUCAAACUCCGAAUACCGUAAGGUUCAGCGUGGGACUCAGUACGCCAGGGCUAAGCUUGGCGGGCAAAAGGGAAACAUCCCAGAUCAUCGUCUAAGGUCUCUAACUCUCUGUUAAGUGGGAAAGGAAGUCAUUUGCCUAAAACACCCAGGAGGUCGGCUUAGAAGCAGCCAUCCUUGAAAGAAAGCGUAACAGCUCACUGGCCGAGGGAAGUGGCGCCGAAGAUUUACGAGGCUUAAACAGAGGACCGAAGACAUGGCUGCUCCGCAUUUAUGCGGGGCGGGGUAGGGGAGCGUUCUUGUUGCAGUGAAGCUGUGCUGUAAGGCAUGGUGGAGCGGCAAGAAGUGAGAAUGGUGGAAUGAGUAGCGAGAAGCUGGUGAGAAUCCAGUUCGCCGUAUGUCCAAGGGUUCCUGAGCAACGUUCGUCGACUCAGGGUUAGGCGACCCUAAGGUGAGGCCGCAAAGGCGUAGCCGAUGGAUUAUGGGUUAAUAUUCCCAUCCUGUUUGUAGAUCGUUAUGAGUUGGGGCCGGACUUUCUAGGCUAACUUGGGCCUGGUGCUGAAGUUACCGGGUGAAAGCUGGUGAGGUAAUUGUGAUUGGAAAAUCCGUCAUGAUGUUUAACCGAGCCGUGAUGACGACCCUAGUCUUUGACCGGGGAAGUUGAGUGACGCAUGGAAACGAGAAAAUGGUCGCGACCAGAUCUAUAAAUAACCGUACCGAUAACCGACACAGGUGGACGAGUCGAGUAGACUCAGGCGAGCGGGAGAACUUUCCUUAAGGAAUUCGGCAAAUUAGCUGGGCGUACGUUCGCAAUAUGCCCUAUCCGGCGUAAGCCGGAUCACAGCAAAAGUUGGCGGAGGGACUGUUUAACAAAAACACAGGUCUGUGCAAACUCGAAAGAGGAAGUAUACGGGCUGAGGCCUGCCCAGUGCCGGAAGGUUAAUUGCGAGAGUGGUUACCGCAAGGUACCUGCUUUCAAUCGAAGCCCCGGUGAACGGCAGCAGUAACUAUAACUGUUCUAUGGUAGAUAAUCGCUGCCAUAGUAAAACUUUGCUAUAUGCUGGAAAAUCCGUGUAUCUUGAACUACCAUAUUUAUGGUAACGUGUUACCAUAGAUGGGUAAAAAUGUUCCAAGUGCGGACAAUCAGCAGGAAAGACUAAAAACGAAAGGUUGGAUUGUGGGUUUCACGGAUGGUGAAGGGUGUUUCACCCUUUCUAUCAUCAGAACUCAACAUCUAAAUUGGGUUGGCAAAAAUGUCUUGGCAAAUUAAUAACCAAAAGAAACCUAAGUUUUUAGAAUCCUCAGAGACUAUACGCAGAGGGGACAUUAUUUAGAUAUAUGCUAAAGCAUAUAUCUUGUCCCAAGAUAUAGUCCGAACUCAAGAGCGAUCUUGAGAGUGAUUAAAAGCGUGAUCACGAAAUAACAAGACGUAAUCAAUAAAAUUGAUUUUUGAGCGAAGUCCCUAGUCGCUUAAUUAGCGACCUGCACGAAAGGUGUAACCACUCUGCCACUGUCUUGAGGAAAGACCCGGCGAAAUUGCAAUGGCUGUGAAGAUGCGGCCUACUGGCAGCUGGACAAAAAGACCCUGUGGAGCUUUACUACAGCUUGGCACUGGUUUUUUAACCAAAAUUGUCUAGUAUAGGCGGGAGUGUGCGGAUUUAUUUCGCAUACAUCAGUGUAAUACCGCUCGUUUUGAUUAAGAAACCUCACCUAUCCCGAUUGCAAACAUCGGGAGGGACACUGCUUGGUGGGUAGUUUAACUGGGGAGGUUGCUUGCUAAAGAGUAACGCAAGCGCACAAAGGUACUCUUAGCCCGGAUGGAAAUCGGGCUUGAACGUGCAAUGGCAGAAGAGUGCUUGACUGUGAGGGUUACAACCCGAGCAGGGGCGAAAGCCGGUCAUAGUGAUCCUCGUGUGCUUUAUGGAAGGCACCGGGCUUAACGGA